rnacentral:lncRNA from 1 species
AAAUUCCCCUAGGGCUCAGGCUGUGAGAAACAUCCUGCCGGGCAAGUCCUAAGCCCAACCGCCUGAUCUCAGGAAAUUCCUCACUUAGCAACAGCUAACCACCCUGCCCACCCCACUUCACAACAAGCCCAGAUCUCUCCCACCCGGACCUAAACUUACCCAGUCUGUAAGCGGGGGCGGGCUCUGGCCUUAGUUGGUGUCCCCCUCCGCGGGUGUUUGUUCGGUAAACCUGUGUUGCUGUAGAGCCGCCUCCGUCCGUUUUUCCUCCCGUUCCUGCGCUAACAAUGACAUUAUACCAAAUGUAACUGAUAUACUAAUACAUGCUGCUGUAAUAAGGAGUCCUCAUUUAAGUUACUGUGUCCAAAAUGAGUUUCCAGUGGUCCUCCAUCUUGAUACAUGCUCCAGUAUCACUUAUACAGAAAGGGUGGACAUGAUAAAACCAAGAUAGAAAUUGUGCCUCAUAAUUGAUAUUUUGAGGAUUCCAUGAAGUAAUAAAUUUAUUAUGUGC